AAUAAAUAUAUUUAAAUAAAUGAGAGAUUAAAUGAUAAAUCAUUAAAUUUAAAAAAUUUGGCGGUACUUAUAAUUUAGAGGAACCUGUAUAGUAAUUGAUAAUCCACGAUAAGAUGAACUUAAUAAAUAAAGUUUAUGUAUUGCUGUUUUUAGUAUUUAAUUAAGUUAGAUUUGUAUGAUUUAUAAUAAUAAAAAAAUUCAAGUCAAAAUAUAGCUUUUUUAAGAUUUAAUAUGGGUUACAAUUAAUUUUAUUAUUAGAUUAUAAAAUUUAAUUUUUGUAUGAAAAUGGAUUUAAAAGUAAAUUAAUAAAUU
rnacentral:rRNA from 1 species